rnacentral:rRNA from 1 species
GUACACACCGCCCGUCACACCAUGGGAGUGAGGGAUACCAGAAGUAGGUAGCUCAACCGCAAGGAAAGCGCUUACCACGGUAUGUUUCAUGACUGGGGUGAAGUCGUAACAAGGUAGCCGUAGGUGAACCUGUAGAAGGAUCA